GAUGAACGCUGGCGGCGUGCCUAAUACAUGCAAGUCGAGCGAACAGACGAGGAGCUUGCUCCUCUGACGUUAGCGGCGGACGGGUGAGUAACACGUGGAUAACCUACCUAUAAGACUGGGAUAACUUCGGGAAACCGGAGCUAAUACCGGAUAAGAUAUUGAACCGCAUGGUUCAAUAGUGAAAGACGGUUUUGCUGUCACUUGUAGAUGGAUCCUCGCCGCAUUAGCUAGUUGGUAAGGUAACGGCUUACCAAGGCAACGAAUCGUAGCCGACCUGAGAGGGUGAUCGGCCCCACUGGAACUGGGACACGGUCCAGACUCCUACGGGAGGAAGCAGUAGGGAAUCUUCCGAAAUGGGCGAAAGCUUGACGGAGCAACGCCGCGUGAGUGAUGAAGGUCUUCGGAUCGUAAAACUCUGUUAUUAGGGAAGAACAAAUGUGUAAGUAACUAUGCACGUCUUGACGGUACCUAAUCAGAAAGCCACGGCUAACUACGUG
rnacentral:rRNA from 1 species